AAGCGGAGGAGCAUGUGGUUUAAUUCGUAUGAUACGCGAGGAACCUUACCUGGGCUCGAACGUAAGAUGACUGUAGGUGAAAGCUUACAUCUCUUCGGAGCAUUUUACGAGGUGCUGCAUGGUUGUCGUCAGCUCGUGCCGUGAGGUGUCGGGUUAAGUCCCAUAACGAGCGCAACCCCUACCUUUAGUUGCCAUCAGGUAAUGCUGGGGACUCUAAAGGAACUGCCUACGCAAGUAGUGAGGAAGCGGGGAUGACGUCAAAUCAGCACGGCCCUUACGUCCAGGGCUACACACGUGCUACAAUGGCCGAUACAGAGGGCAGCUACCUGGUGACAGGAUGCAAAUCUCCAAAGUCGGUCUCAGUUCGGAUCGGAGUCUGCAACCCGACUCCGUGAAGUUGGAUUCGCUAGUAAUCGCGCAUCAGCCAUGGCGCGGUGAAUACGUUCCCGGGCCUU
rnacentral:rRNA from 1 species